GAUGAACGCUAGCGGGAGGCCUAACACAUGCAAGCCGAGCGGUAUUUGUUCUUCGGAACAGAGAGAGCGGCGCACGGGUGCGGAACACGUGUGCAACCUGCCUUUAUCUGGGGGAUAGCCUUUCGAAAGGAAGAUUAAUACCCCAUAAUAUAUUGAGUGGCAUCAUUUGAUAUUGAAAACUCCGGUGGAUAGAGAUGGGCACGCGCAAGAUUAGAUAGUUGGUGAGGUAACGGCUCACCAAGUCAAUGAUCUUUAGGGGGCCUGAGAGGGUGAUCCCCCACACUGGUACUGAGACACGGACCAGACUCCUACGGGAGGCAGCAGUGAGGAAUAUUGGACAAUGGGUUAGCGCCUGAUCCAGCCAUCCCGCGUGAAGGACGACGGCCCUAUGGGUUGUAAACUUCUUCUGUAUAGGGAUAAACCUACUCUCGUGAGAGUAGCUGAAGGUACUAUACGAAUAAGCACCGGCUAACUCCGU
rnacentral:rRNA from 1 species